CCUCGUUGUUCAAGAUUGUCUUUCUUUCUUCAAUUUUAUCAAGCAAGAUCCAGAAUUUCAUGGGUUGCCCUCAUUUUUAUAUGGUGAGUCAAUGGGUGGUGCUAUUUGUCUCCUGAUUCAUCUAGCAAACCCUAGAGGGUUUGAUGGUGCAAUCUUGGUUGCACCCAUGUGUAAAAUCUCAGAGAAUAUGAAACCCAGAUGGCCAAUUCCUGAGAUUCUAUCAUUUGUUGCAAAAUUCUU
rnacentral:misc_RNA from 1 species